UAGACGGUGCAAUAGGACGGCUGCCU
rnacentral:sRNA from 1 species